UUUUGGCCUAGAUAUAGUUUACAAAAUUUAUUAGGUUAAGAAUUUAGGUUAAGUAUGUAGGUUAAGAAUUUAGGUUAGGAUAAUCAAAAUUUUAAAUAUACAUGCAAAUUAUGUAAAAUUUUCACUACGAAUUUUAACAUUCAUAAUAAUGGAAAUGAAUGUAAAGAUAGAAUUGCUUACAUAACAACUUUAAUGUGAUGUAAAUCAAGAGUGAAAGACUGCCGUAUAAUCAAAAUCCGAGAACUAGAAUAGUUUGAAAACUGACAAAUUGCAUUGUUAAGGCCCAUGGUUUAGUCAAGGAAUAUUUCGGAAUUCACUGACUUAUACACUUAACGCAGCUGGAAAAUAUGCUUGGUGUCGACUCUUGUUAUAUACGAAAUAACAUAUAAGAUCUCCGUCAUUUGAUUUAAAUACUUGAAGGGAUAUAAUGGAAAGAGUGAAAAUUAUUUGCUCUUCAACUACUAGAUGUGACAAAAAUUAAUUUGACAUACCAAUGGACAUGUCGAAAGGUCUAACAUCCCACCUUUAUACUUGAUACUUAAGGAACUUCGUUGUUGUCGAGUACUUGGAACUGAAGGCGGUUUGCUGAUGACUUGAAUGCGUUAGCCGUGUUCUAAUACUAAAAGGACUACGUUGUUGAAUUGAAAACGUUAGCCGAGUUCUAAUACUAAAAGGACUACGUUAUUGAAUUGAAAGCGUUAGCCGUGUACUUGAAUUUGGAUACGUUAACUCAUUGCUAGUUUAAGGGAAAUGUGCUUCAAGUCCCCGAUUUUUAAAUCCAAAAUUCGAAAAGAUGGGGGAAAAAUCGAAAAAAAAGCAUCAUUGUAGAUGAUCAAUAUUUUUCCUAAUACGAAUUCCAUGCAGUGUGUCCUGUUUUGGUAGCUGGACUCAAUUGAAAUUUUAAUUAAGUAUCUUAAUUUUGUUCAUGGAGGACAUGGUGGGGUUAUUGGACUAUUUACCUGCUGUGAUGAUUUAUUAGAAUUAAGUUUUUUAUAUAAAAAAAUAGUUUUAGGAACAAAAUUUUAAAUAAAAAAUUAUAUGUGAA